CAAAAUAUAGCUUAAUUAGUUGAGUAUUUCGUUUACAUUGAGAUGAGGUUUGUGCAAUUCAGACUGUUUUGA
rnacentral:tRNA from 1 species